rnacentral:rRNA from 1 species
AGGACGAACGCUGGCGGCGUGCCUAACACAUGCAAGUCGAACGGGGUAGCAAUACCCAGUGGCGGACGGGUGCGUAACACGUGAGGAACAUGUCUUUCGGCGGGGAAUAGCCGGCCUAACGGCCGGGUAAUACCGCGUACGACGAUUGGAGCGCAUGCUUCGAUCGUGAAAGCAGCAAUGCACCGACAGAGUGCCUCGCGGCCUAUCAGCUAGUUGGUGAGGUAAUGGCUCACCAAGGCUACGACGGGUAGCUGGUCUGAGAGGAUGAUCAGCCACAUUGGGACUGAGACACGGCCCAGACUCCUACGGGAGCAGCAGUGGGGAAUAUUGCGCAAUGGG